GACAGCAGCCGCCGCGGGAAUACAGAGGGUGCGAGCGUUAAUCGGAUUUACUGGGCGUAAAGCGUGCGUAGGCGGCUAAUUGAGUCGGAUGUGAAAUCCCCGAGCUUAACUUGGGAAUUGCAUUCGAUACUGGUUAGCUAGAGUGUGGGAGAGGAUGGUAGAAUUCCAGGUGUAGCGGUGAAAUGCGUAGAGAUCUGGAGGAAUACCGAUGGCGAAGGCAGCCAUCUGGCCUAACACUGACGCUGAGGUACGAAAGCAUGGGGAGCAAACAGGAUUAGAGACCCCAGUAGUCCCUGUCUCUUAUAC
rnacentral:rRNA from 1 species